UGGCGAACGGGUGAGUAAUACGUGAGUAACCUGCCCUUGACUCUGGGAUAAGCCUGGGAAACUGGGUCUAAUACUGGAUAUGACAUGCCACUGCAUGGUGGUGUGUGGAAAGGGUUUUACUGGUUUUGGAUGGGCUCACGGCCUAUCAGCUUGUUGGUGGGGUAAUGGCCUACCAAGGCGACGACGGGUAGCCGGCCUGAGAGGGUGACCGGCCACACUGGGACUGAGACACGGCCCAGACUCCUACGGAAGGCAGCAG
rnacentral:rRNA from 1 species